CCCCUAGACGUUCUGGGCUGCACGCGCGCUACAAUAAUACGCACAGCGAGUAUCACCGAGCUCGAAAGGGCAAGGUAAACAAUAGAAAAGGUACUGUAAUGGUUAUAGAUCCUUGUAAUUAUUGAUCUUCAACGAGGAAUUCCUAGUAAGUAUGUGUCAUCAUCACGCACUGAUUACGUCCCUGCCCUUUGUACACACCGCCCGUCGCUCCUACCGAUUGAGUGAGCCGAUGAAACUGCCGGAUGUGGACUAUUCAUAGUCUGCAGAAGAUAUUUGAAGCGUAGCGCUUAGAGGAAGGAGAAGUCGUAACA
rnacentral:rRNA from 1 species